GACAGAGGGUGCAAACGUUGUUCGGAAUUACUGGGCGUAAAGGGUGCGUAGGCGGUUUGGUAAGUCUCUUGUGAAAUCUAUGGGCUCAACUCAUAGUCUGCAAGGGAAACUGCCGGGCUUGAGUGUGGGAGAGGUGAGUGGAAUUUCCGGUGUAGCGGUGAAAUGCGUAGAUAUCGGAAGGAACACCUGUGGCGAAAGCGGCUCACUGGACCACAACUGACGCUGAUGCACGAAAGCUAGGGGAGCAAACAGG
rnacentral:rRNA from 1 species